GAGACGUGUUAAAGAGAGGACAUCUAAGCUCAAUCCGCUAGUGCCUGCUUCCGUUGUCUCUUGUCAGUUGUCAAACAGUGCGUCUGUCCGAAACCUCUGAAACUCCGAACCAUGAGCGGCGAAUCAACCGGAGAAGAAGCACUGGCCAAAGCCGCCUCCGCCACCGACGAUCUCUACCACCUCCGAGACACUUAUUUUCCGGCGAAUCCCGACGACAAAACUGCCAAGUUGCAGACUCAAUCCGAUCUCGCUCUCAGCCUCCUCGAUUCCAUCCCUCCCGAACAAAGAAAACUUCCCCUGCAACGAGCAACUUAUGAGUAUCUGAGAGGAAAGAUACUAGAUGUAUUUGCUGACUACAGGAAAGAAGCAGAGGAUCAUCUCUCGAAAGCCGUUAAGUUGAACCCAUCCCUUGCAGAUGCUUGGCUAUGCUUAGGUAAUUGCAUUUGGAAGAAGGGAGAUCUAUCUGCAGCAAAGAAUUGUUUCACUCUUGCAUUAAGCAAGGGUCGAAACAAAAAGAUAAUGUGUCAAUUGUCAAUGCUUAAUAGAAAAAUAGCUCAAGGCACUGAGAAUCAGGCAGAACUCAUUGAAGAAAGCAUUCAACAUGCCAAGGAAGCUAUAACUCUGGAUGUUAAGGAUGGCAAUUCUUGGUAUAAUCUUGGAAAUGCAUGUCUCACUAGUUUCUUCGUGACUGGUGCUUGGGAUCACAACAAACUUCGGCAGUCUUUGAAGGCAUACCAAAAUGCUGAGAAAGAUGAAAGAAUGAAGUCCAAUCCAGACUUACAUUUUAACUGUGCCACUGUGAACAGAUACCUGGAGAACUAUGAGAGGGCCCUCACUGGCUUUGAAACUGCUGCUCUAAAGGAUCCUGGUCUUAAGGCUAUUGAGGAGGUUCAGAAGAUUGUUAAUCUUCUUGACAAGAUAGAUAACCUUUUGGGAUAUGCUAGAGCCAAAAGACUUACAUCAACAGCAUCAUCUCUGACUGCUGUAAAUUUCAAUUCCUCCUAUAGAACGGGUACUAUUGAUGUUCUGCGGGAGGGCAUGAACAAAGGAGUGGCAAUAGUGGGAAAAGUGCUAUUCUUCAUCAAGCAUGAGAAUGUUGCUCCCUUGUACUACGUGAUAUGCGAUUCAAAUCAAACGUGCUUUAUUCUUUCAGUGUAUGGUGUGCGAUAUGAUGCGAUCAAAGAAGGAGAUCAGCUAACAGUAUUGGAACCUUUUCAACGACUUAUCAAUUUAUCUUGGAAGGAAAAGAUUUAUCAGUUCAAAUCGAUUCGUGUCGAUUUCUUGGAACAAGUUCUUGUGAAUGGAAAGGCUCUUUCCCCUCAGCAAGCCGUUCAUUCCUCAAUUUUUGCCCAACACAAACCAGCAUAAACCAUGAACUGUUGUUUGGAACGGAGUAUAUGCGUGUGGUAGCGUUCUUUAAACCAUAUCGUUUGUACAUAGAAAUGGUGAUGAAGUACCGAAUUCCUGCCCUGAUCAAAAGCCAGCAGCAGAGAACAGGAAAAUGGGCUAAUUAAAAUAGAGUACAAGGACACACAAGGAAAUUGGAAAGGCACUAAUUAUUGAUUAAAAGAUUGGAGGCAAAGGCGAAGGCCGUGUAAGGGUUUGGGGUUCAUACCGCCAAAAAACUUGAAGUUAGGAUCCACCAAUUCACAUUUGAACCUCUUCACAAGAUGAUGCAAGAAAAUGAGGAUUUGGAGACGGGCGAAGUCUUUUCCUGGGCAAAUUCAAGGACCACCCUCAAAGGGGAUGUUCAUGUAAGGCGGGGUCGGCGAUUUCUUGUACCUUGUUGGAUCAAACUCUUCUGGUGCUGGGAAAUCUGCAUUUAUGUUUGUCGUGCUUACUGUCCAGUAUACCUACUCAAACCACAACAACUGCCAAUUUAUUAGUUCAUCAAACCUUGUAAUCAAAAUACGUAGUACUAAUUCUUGUGAUAAAUUUAUAAUCACGAAUUUCUACUACUCAUUUUCUGUAACAAUUAUAUCCGAGUGGGGGUUUAGUGCAGG